UCUGCCAGCAAUCCAGUAAUACAAGUUCGUGUAGCUACUGAGCAGUUAUCAUGGUCGUCUGCGGUAUAAAAGGAUGCGGAAACGGUAAACGAAAUGUACCCGGGUGAAAUGCAUCAACCACCAUCUUGCAAGCCCUGAAGGAAGGUGGCAUUUGAAUCGAAAGAAGGAGUACGAAUGACUGCCAUCUCCUAAAGUGACACAGGAUUACUGGGAACUAUACUCACUAUGUCAUCUCCUAAAGUGGCACAGGAUUACUGUAAACUAUACUCACUGUGUCAUGCCCCCUGUGGUACUCUGCAUGUUAACCAAGAAGAAGGCCCCAGUUGCUUCACCGAAGUACUCAGCUUGAUUAGUCAUGGCGUAGGAACUGGUUGUCCACAGACUCGGCAGAUAACCCCCAUUGCCCCACACCGUGAGCGAACUCGUGCACAACGAUGUUGUCGUGAUGGUGGUAGGGGUCACGUGCCGUGCACAGGACGUUGUCUUGAAGAACAACCGACCGCGUGCCGCUCACUCCGGCGAUGGC